UACGGGGGGAGCAAGCGUUGUUCGGUAUUACGUGGCGAGAAGGCGCGUAGGCGGUCAGCACAAGUCAGUUGUGAAAUCUCCGGGCUUAACCCGGAAAGGUCAACUGAUACUGUGCGACUGGAGUGCGGAAGGGGCAACUGGAAUUCUCGGUGUAGCGGUGAAAUGCGUAGAUAUCGCUUGGAACGCCAAAGGUGAAAACAGGUUGCUGGGGUUGUGCCGACGCUGAGACACGAAAGCCAGGGGCGCAAACGGG
rnacentral:rRNA from 1 species